CUGACCCUUUAAGGGUCCUGAAGGAACGUUGAAGACGACGACGUUGAUAGGCCGGGUGUGUAAGCGCAGCGAUGCGUUGAGCUAACCGGUACUAAUGAACCGUGAGGCUUAACCUUACAACGCCGAAGCUGUU
rnacentral:rRNA from 1 species